rnacentral:misc_RNA from 1 species
AUAGUAAGAUUUUAUCAUUCGGGAAAGACUUGUAUUACAAUAAUCAAUGAAUGAAUGCAACAUACUUUUUGAGCGUUUUAUAUUUGGCAAAUGUAUGAUUGACAUGUAUCCCGAGUUUUUAAAACUCAUUCACCCGUGACACUCACUAAUUGGAUUGGUGUAAUACACUAGUCAAAGUAUUUUUCCCAUUCAUUGUUGCUAAUACAGUUGAUCAUAGCUAACUGUUUCUUCCAAAACCUCAUACAUAUAGAGGAAACUGAUAUCCAUUUAAUAGCUUUUAAAACAAUUUUAGAUCAUAGCACCACAAAGUCAACACCUGGAGGUAUUUUUGGUCGCAUCUCUUCAGCAUGUUGCUUGGCCAAUUGAUACAUCCCGGUCUCCUUGAAUUUCAACUGUGAUGAGCUUCUCAGAUAGCAUGGUGAACAAGGAUCAAUAAUUAUCUUGUCAAGCGAGAUACCAUUCCUGAGCAAGUGUAGGACAAGCUCAAUUUCAGCAGCAUGUCCUUUAAAACCAAGCACUUCCACCACCUUGGGGCAUGGAAGUGUAUAAUCCUUUGGAACCUUGUGAAGCUCUCUAGAUGACGACGAGGGAGUUUCAUAUGAUAUCUUUAGUGUGAACCAAUACAGCAAAGGGCAUGCUUUUAGCAGGGAAACAUAAGGAACGAGGCAAAGUUCACCAGCAGAGACUGCAGUCGUCACUUCCAAACUCCUGACAUUACCUAGAAUGGGAAAAUUUUGGAGGAACUCGCAGAAUAACUGACCAGUUUUAACAAAGAAAACGCCCAUAUUAUACCAUACUUGAAAACAGAAAUGAAUAGAAACAAGAAACAAAAUCCCAUCAUACGUACAUAAGAAAGUCCUACAUCGAAUUUCAGUGUCUGUAGCCGCAAGAUAUAGCGAGAAAAUUGGUAAAGAUUAUCAAUGAUUGAUUCACCAAAUCGUCCUCCAAAGUAUGACUCAACCAGAUUGGGCACAUUCUUAAAAGGAAUGCCUAUCACUAGUCCAUAGUAUUUAAAAGAUACAAGACUCGCGGCAGAAAUCUCGAGGUCCUUCAAGCUAAAGCAAGAGACUAUCUCCAGGUACUGGGGGCUUGAGUAAUGGACCUGAAACUCUAAGACUUACCAGACUUGUUGAAUCUUCUACUCUUAAUACCUCAAGAAAUGGACAGCAAAAUAAUAGCGAGUGCUCAAGAAACUCUCCGGACACAUCGACAGUAUUCAAACUCAGGGUUGUCAGAGAACUAAAGCUUGAAUGAUUAAACAAAUUUAAUGCCAAGGAAUAAAAACCUCUAGUGUUGAUUCUUGGCGGGAUACUUUGCAGGUCCAACUCAAGCCUUUUAACUCUCUUUUGCAUUGCAAAAUCAAUCCAACUAUCAAUUUCAUAUUUGCAAUCAGAGUCCAUAUCAUAACAAAUUCUUAAACCCUCUAGAGUUGGACCUUCAUGUAAUCUCAGAACUCGAUUCACCCAACUCACAAACCUAUGCCUUUCUGUGUCCAGUGACUUGCUCAUCAGAUUCAAAUCCCACAUUGUAAGUGAAGCAUCAAAGACCAUACCACCACUGAAAAAUGUCCAUAAACGUCUCCAUCUGCUAGAGAAGAUGGAGGUACGAAUUGCUUUUUUCAGUGUCAAGCGUGACAAGAUGCUCACAAGAGCAUCUUCUGGUAGCUGACUAAAGUGAUCCUUUGAAUCAUUACCACCGUUUUCGUUGCUGUUCUCUCUUGGGGGAUUCUGAUCUUCCCCAUUAUUGCCUUUCUCAUCACACUAAACGCCAUCACAGAAUUUAAAUAUGAAUUAAAAUUUCAGAAGAAUAAGAAAUAAAUUAUUAAAAAAAAGUUUGAAAGAACAAACUUGUCUUCUCAUUUCCUCACUAUUAAAGCUGCGGUUGAUCUUUUGUUGUUUGAAAUGGAAAUAAUUUAUAAUCUUCUCUUCCAUGGUGUGAACAUAUGAAAACAAAGCAAAUGCAAAAAUUGGUCUUUCACGGUUUCUCUCCCUGAUCGGAUUUAGGCUGAAACAUCCUCAUUUAAAACCCCAUCAAACAUUUGACGCAGAGAGAGAGAGAGAGAGAAAGA